UGCAGAACAAAAGAGAAGUGCACCAAGUAAUUCAAUUGUUGUUGUUUUUGUUAUUAUUAUUAUUGUCAUUAUUAGUUAUUCGUAGACAAAGAGAGAGUCAGAAAGAUUGUACAGUACGAUAGAGAAGUGCACCAGUUACUCGUACACAACUAGUGGGUCAGAAAUUUAUUACAGUACAAAAGACUGAAGUUCACCAGUUACUCGUACACAAGGAGAGGGUCAGAAAGAUAGUAUAGUACAGAAGAGAAGUGCACCAGAGAGGGUCAGAAAAAUAGUGCAGUACAAAAGAGAAGUGCAUCAGGUCCGUAAAAACUUGGCUGAGAGUACUAAUACUAGUACAAAGUUAACAGCUCUACAAUUUUUUGUUUUUAUUUACUGAU